AAUUGUACUUCUCUCAGAAGUUGCAGGCGCUAUUUGCACCAUAGAAUUAAGUGCAUGCAAACUACUGGAAGACUUCCCAAGAGUCAAAGGUUGUUCCACUGUCUUCAUUGCAGCAGCUCUACGAGCAUCAUACGUAUGUAACAUCUGCCCAUUUUUUAAGGUUCUGCACUGAUUUAACCAGGAAGGUUCCAACUGAGAACCAUUUUGUGUUUGUUCAAGCGUAACGGAAUUUGUA
rnacentral:misc_RNA from 1 species